rnacentral:rRNA from 1 species
UGUGCCAGCCGCCGCGGUAAUACGGAGGGUGCGAGCGUUGUCCGGAUUUAUUGGGUUUAAAGGGUGCGUAGGCGGCCUGAUAAGUCCGGGGUGAAAGCCCGUUGCUCAACAACGGAACUGCCCUGGAUACUGUCAGGCUUGAGUACAGACGAGGUUGGCGGAAUGGACCGAGUAGCGGUGAAAUGCAUAGAUACGGUCCAGAACCCCGAUUGCGAAGGCAGCUGACUAGGCUGUUACUGACGCUGAGGCACGACAGCGUGGGGAGCGAA